rnacentral:misc_RNA from 1 species
CCUGGCACAGAGAGGGCAAAGCUUCACCUAAAACCCAACAAAAAUGCAAUAUUCCAACCCUCAUAACAGCCCAAUGUACAUUCACUUUCCACAUCAACAAAUUGAAAAGGGUUGAAAGCCCAUAACUGCCAGAGAUAUUCAUAGUGCUUGUUCUAGCUGAAAGCCCACAACAUAAUCCAAAGCCAAAAGAAGGUGGAACCGGAUAAAAGACGGGACCGCUUAGGACAUUGAUUUCCUCUUUAGUACUCCCUCAGAAUUUUAAUCCACCUAUUCCAAAGAUUUACUGUGUAGAAUCCAGAGAUAGAAUUCAUAGAGUUAUGGAGGCCCCCCAAAAAAAGAAAUGCAAACCAUAACUUCACUAAUCUCCAAAAUUCUCACUUCUUUAUCUACCAAGAUAACAUUGUAUUUCUCCUAAUCUGGUCCAGAAAAGAGAGAUUCAUACUAUAGGAACCUUCAAUUCUAACUUUUAUUAUCCUCGUAUCUGUCACUUUAUCGAUUCAUAAAGAGAGUGCAUGCACGAUGAUAUUGACAUGAGAUUCACUUGACUUUGUAUACCAACCAUGAUACAUUUCAACCAAUGAGAACAGUUUCCAUAAAACUAAGCAGCCAAUCAAAGGAAAGUAGAAUUUUCAUAAACAGAACGAGAAUCUCCAACUACAUUUAUACUUAAAGUGCUUUCAACCUCCAAAUAGCUUAGCAAGGAAAAGAAAACCUUUCCUUAUUCAUCGCUGUUCUACAAAAGUUUGUAGUAGCAAAUUUAUCCUUAAGUCACAUUUCUCUGAUAACUCCUACCUAAUCUCAUCCUCAAACCCAAAUGUCGUUUAAAACCAUAUAGGAAAUGCUUAAUUUCUCCUCUAGUUACAGAAUUUAUCACCAAAUUUCAGCACAAUCACUAAAAUUCAAUUUGUACCAAUAAAAUCUCUAGACUUUGA